CCUACGGGCGGCAGCAGUAGGGAAUUUUGCGCAAUGGGCGAAAGCCUGACGCAGCAACACCGCGUGAAUGUUUAGCCCUUCGGGGUGUAACGUUCUGUCAAUAGGGGCGAAUUUUGACUGUACCUAUAAAGGACGCACCGGCUAACUCCGUGCCAGUAGCCGCGGUAAUACGGGGGGUGCAAGCGGUAGCCGGAUUUAUUGGGUUUAAAGGGUGCGCAGGGGGCGAGGUAAGUCAGCGGUAAAAUUUCGGGGCUCAACCCCGACAAGCCGUUGAAACUGGCUUGCUAGAGUGGGCGAGAAGUAUGCGGAAGGCGUGGUGUAGCGGUGAAAGGCAUAGAUAUCACGCAGAACUCCGAUUGCGAAGGCAGCAUACCGGCGCCCAACUGACGCUCAGGCACGAAAGCGUGGGUAUCGAACAGGAUUAGAUACCCGUGUAGUC
rnacentral:rRNA from 1 species